CCCUUAGAUGUUCUGGGCCGCACGCGCGCUACACUGAUGCAUUCAACGAGCAUUUGCUUGGCCGAGAGGUCAGGCUAAUCUUUGAACGUGCAUCGUGCUGGGGAUAGAUGAUUGCAAUUAUUCAUCUUCAACGAGGAAUUCCUAGUAAACGCAAGUCAUCAGCUUGCAUUGAUUACGUCCCUGCCCUUUGUACACACCGCCCGUCGCUCCUACCGAUCGAAGAGUUAGGUGAAUUGUUUUGAUCGAUAAGAUUUGACUAUGGUCAACUCUCGUUGUGAAAUUCUGUGAAUCUGACUGUUUAGAGGAAGGAAAAGUCGUAACA
rnacentral:rRNA from 1 species